CGGAUAUGGCGAAAUUGGUAGACGCGCCAGACUUAGGAUCUGGUGGGAAACCGUGGGGGUUCGAGUCCCUUUAUCCGC
rnacentral:tRNA from 1 species